rnacentral:snoRNA from 1 species
GUAUUGCAAGUCCAAAACUAAUAUUACACCCUCUUUGAUAUUCAACUGGACACGAUCAAAUUAUAUGAUUUACUAUUCCUCUUAAGGAUAUCGGCUAAAAGAUAAACUCCUUAAUAAAGUUCAAAAAUCAACAUUUUUUAUAU